UCUGCCUUGGGUCUGUCUGGAGAGUGAGAGGAGAGAGAGAGAGCAGAGGCUCCAGGCCUAGUAUCUCACUGAGUUGUUGUUAGUAUGGGCCAAAGGGUCAGAAAGAGCUGUUUAUAGGAUCCGCCAUCAUCUCCGCUGCUGUCUGCUCCAGCAUUGGUUGCUGUUCACCCUGACCUUUGGAUUGUUGCUGUGGGCUGCUGUUGCAUCUUUUCACUGGCCGGUCUGUGAACCUCUCUGGCUGGGCUGCCAAGAAGUACUGGAUGCUGAUGAUUCCUGAAUCUUCUGCAACAUUAGUUGAGUUGGUUCUGGACUUAACUCAUUGCCAGAUUCUGGUACUCUCAGCUUUGCAUGGAGUGAAUAAAAUGAGAUUUAUGAGUGGAACCUGCCAUCUUCAGCUGGAAUUUAGCGUGUGACUCCUUCAGAAUGGACACUAAGCAGCCCCACAGCUGGAAGAUAUGUGGACCUGUCUACAACUCUCUCUCAACUCUUUAAGAUAUUGUUGAAGUUCUUGAAACAUCACGUAUUUAAGGUGUAUGGUUUGACAUAUGUAUAUACACAUCAUCAUGAUGAAAACUGAAUAUUUCCAUCACUCCUUCCCCACACAUCCACUGAUCAUCUUCUUGUCACUAUAUAUUCAAAUAUUUUCUCUAAAAUGUUAUUAAAAUGGAAUCUAACAGUAAAAG